CACUAGCGUGUCUUCUCCAUUCCCAUGGAUUGGACUUUAUAUUUGUCUAUUCAAAGGACUAACUGAAGUCCAGGUCUUAUCUGGUGUGGUUUAUGUUGUUUUUCACAUAUCCAUUUCUUUAUUACUGGGUUUGUCGUAUUAAGCUUAUGUUAUAGAUAUAUUCUCUUGAAAUUGUUGUUUCUGGGUUCAUUGCUUAAAUACAGGAGGUGACCAAUUAUUACCAAGGACCUUCCAACAUUUUGUUGUUUUUCUUAUACAGGUGCUAGGUCCUAACAUGUUGUGCUGGCUGUGCCCAAUAUCAAGGAACAUCGGAAAUGGUGUUCGUUUCCGCACAUCAUAUGACACUCCACUAUCAACUUCAGCAAUGUGAUGCACACCAUAUAUAUCUGCUAAAUCGCAAAAGAAACUCAGGUGCCCACACAAAGUGCUAGGUUUGCUAUUCUUCACAGUUCUGAUUUUUAGCAUUUAACCAAAGCGUUUGUGUAUCCUUAAAAGGAGAGUGUUUUCCAAUGCUUGAACUUUUGUAGUAAGGGUGUGCUACAUCAAAUCCAGCGUGUUUAGGAUACUGCUACAUACAUCAAAUCCUAAAGCCUCCUAGAAUCUGUCAUUAGGAAUUUUUAGAGAUGCUGACAUACUUAGAUUUUUCUCUCUUUUUGGGGACAUUCUUGAUCAAAUAAGUAAUUAUUGCUUGUGUAGUAGACUAGAGUGGGCUGUAUUAACACACACUAAAAAAAACGGAAAGAAAAGGAAAGAUGUACUCGUGGUUGUUCUGUUGUAAAAUUAUGUCCAAACUGGUUUUUUUUUGUCGUGAAAGCUCGUCAGCUCGUGUAUUGUUUUGUCAGAUAGUACAUAGGAGUAAUGAGUGUUAAGGACCAAUCAACCAAAUACUAUUUUAUGUAUACACUUGUUGAGAAAUACACGUGGAUAUAGCUGUUUGCACAUAUGGGUGU
rnacentral:lncRNA from 1 species